rnacentral:rRNA from 1 species
AACGAACGCUGGCGGCAGGCCUAACACAUGCAAGUCGAACGCUCCGCAAGGGGAGUGGCGCACGGGUGAGUAACACGUGGGAACCUACCUUCUGGUACGGAACAACCAAGGGAAACUUUGGCUAAGACCGUAUACGACCUCCGGGUGAAAGAUUGAUCGCCGGAAGAGGGGCCGCGUCCGAUUAGGUAGUUGGUGAGGUAACGGCUCACCAAGCCUUCGAUCGGUAGCUGGUCUGAGAGGAUGACCAGCCACACUGGGACUGAGACACGGCCCACGACUCCUACGGGAGGCAGCAGUGGGGAAGUAUUGGACAAUGGGCGCAAGCCUGAUCCAGCCAUGCCGCGUGAGUGAUGAAGGCCUUC